ACAGAAUUUUCCGCUGUGACUGAUGUGGAGCAGAGAAAGGGCCAAUAAUGGGACAGAGCUGGGGAAUUGUGCUUACCUUGAGUGCAGCUCUGCCUUGUCCUGCGGGGAGGAGAGGCUUGUGCCACGUGCUGGGGAUGAGGAGAGCAGGGCCAGGCGGCCGUGAGCCCUGGCACGCUGAGGACAGCAGUGGGCACACAGGGGACAGCAGGAGGGACAGGGCAGGGAGGGAUGAGUCACCCACAGCAAACAAGGAACACCCAGGAGCACCUCGAACCCAGCUGGCAGCACAGGCUGACUUACAGCCCUCCAGGCUCCUGGGACACCUUUAUACAAUUCCUUCAGCCACUCCACACUGCAGCCAAGUGGCAGAAGGAAAAUAGUUCAAACAUUCACGCCCUGGGCUCUCAGGGAGGGGACGGCUCCACAGUGGCACCAGGUGAACAGUCAGUGCCAGUCUGGCUGGGGGCAAGGCUCUGCCCCAAAGCUCUUCCCUUUCUGCUGUCCUCCCCCAGGAAAAGCCAGGGCACUGCUGGGGAAAGGCUCAGCAGGAGCUUUAGAGCCCAAACUGAGAAAAUAAAAUGUACAGGAGCUCCCCAGAUCCUCGAGCAGGAGAGCACAGGCAGGACAGCUGGGGCAGAGCAGCCAAAAGCAAAUGCAAAAAAUGCUUUUGCAAAAGCAAAACCCAGGAAAAGCCAAAGCAGCAGCAGAGCUGCGCAGCAGGGAAGGAAGGAUAUGGAGAAUAUGAAGGAUAUGAAGAUAUGGAGGAGUUACCUGGGGGAGAGGGGCUGGGACAGCCUUUGGGAGCAGGAGCUGGUCCAGGACUGUUUGCUGUUGUCAAACUGCUGCUAAUCCCCCUGCAGAGUGUGCACACUGACUAAGUGCUGAUAUUUCCAAGCCGUUGUCAGGAUUUGCUGCUGCUCCAGGUGAGUCACAGAGCCCACGCUCACACUGGGGGUGUCUGCAGCAGGGAGAGCUUUUUAUUCUGUUUUCAGUAAUAAAACCUGGCUUUGGAAAGCUUUCCACAGACACUCAAAAUACC
rnacentral:lncRNA from 12 species